rnacentral:tRNA from 1 species
AGGUCAGUAGCUCAAUUGGAAGAGCAGUUGAUUCCAAAUCAACAGGCUGGGGGUUCGAGUCCCUCCUGACCUGCCA